GGUAGUAGGAGGAUGGUUACGCAUCUUCUUUUGAAGAUGUGAGGAAAGUCUGGACUCCCAUUUAAACGUAGCGGUUAAAAGCCGUCGUCCGGAAGGAAGAGGUGCGAACAGUGACGCUGAGUUUAGAGAUAAGCUCAGGAGCCCGCUCCCAAGCUAGGUGGCUUAUUCUCGCCAUAGGGACAAAAAAGCGAGAGUGAAACGGCUAAAUCCUUACGGGGUGCAAGGUCGUACUGGCAUUUAUGUCAGGGAACUGCAUGAGUCUUUUGGUAACAAAAGACCUUAGGUAAAUUACCAUCGUCUCUUUAUUGAGAUAACAGAAUCCGGCUUACUCCCUACUAACAAGA
rnacentral:RNase_P_RNA from 1 species